rnacentral:rRNA from 1 species
UACGGGGGGAGCAAGCGUUGUUCGGAUUUACUGGGCGUAAAGGGCGCGUAGGCGGCCACGCCAAGUCACUUGUGAAAUCUCCGGGCUUAACUCGGAAAGGUCAAGUGAUACUGUCGGGCUUGAGUACGGAAGAGGCGAGUGGAAUUCCUGGUGUAGCGGUGAAAUGUGCAGAUAUCAGGAGGAACACCAAUUGCGAAGGCAGCUCGCUGGGACGUUACUGACGCUGAGACGCGAAAGCGUGGGGAGCAAACAGG